CCAAGUUGCUGUAUGUUUAAAAGAGAGUUACCAAGUUUCAAGUAUUAAUCACAAGACACAUUAGCUCCUACCUACUUCCAUAAGAUGACCGAGAGCAAUGUAAACUACUAGUACACUUGUCUUUGCCUCCAUAGCUGUUGCACAUUUAAGGAGAAGAGUCAUCAAACUUCAACAUCCUCCUCAUGAAACAUUAACUUCUAUUACUUUCCAUUAGAAACCAGGAGUAUGAUAGAGCCAAGAGAUAGAGUAGCACUUGCCUUUUGUCUGCCAUUAACAACCGAGAGACAGAGUGGAAUGAAAUCAAAAUUCCUUCUCGUCCUUUGCCUGUUCAAAAUCGAGUGAGACAACAAGGGAAACUAGGAACUCUUUUCUUUCUUCUACCAUGAACACCAGCCAAGAAAACAAGGAAACUCUAGCCUGUUUAGUUAAGGAAUCGAGAGAGAGGAAAGCUGAAAUUUUCCAGUCCACAACGUGAAGAAAUAAGAGGUAGUUAACUAAGCUUUCUUCAAUUUCCUUCCACUUUCAGUUAGUAAUGUUUUAGAUUAAGUCAAAACCAAGAAAAGAAGAAAGUUUACUGAGGAGAGGUUCAUCAAAGCUGGAAAAUUUGUUUAAAGUUUCUGCAUAUUACCCGAUGUUGUUAAACCAUAAACUUCUGGUUGUUUGCCUUCCAAAACCUGUUAGAUUGUAACUUCAUGCGUUAUAUAUGCUCCCAAGUAUACAUAUUUUGGCAUACAUGAAAUAUUUGACAUGAACUCAAGUAGAAUAAGUGUAAGAAAAUGAAGAAAAUCUUGCUGAAGUUCUUGUUUUGACUCUGCGUGUAGACUGAUAGGAUGAAGCUGGAAAUUUCCAGCUUUAUCUCCAGAAAAUUUUGUUCGUUUGGUUAAAAACUCACUUCAUAUAACUGUUAUCUUCUUAAUCCAGUCAUGCAUGUGUUAUUUGAGGAGUUAAAAGAAAGAAAAGAUUGACUUUAAAGCAAUCCCAAAAGCUGGAAUUUUCUGGACAGCAAAUUGGGAGGGAAAAGCUGCAAUUUUGGUUAUUUCUCUAGAAGUUUUGCUAGAUUGUGACUGGAACUCAUGCAUUAUGCUCUGUGUAAUGUUUCUGGGGUGAUGCAUGUGAAUUUCUAUAGUAAAAAUUUGAGUUUUAUGGCUGGUUUCUUGCUGGAAUUCCCAGCUUUGGCAGAGAAGGAAGAAAGCUUGUUUUCCUUUCCAGUUUUUCCUAUGGAAUUCUAAAAGAUUAAGCUCGAAACUUUUGUUAUAUGUUCAAUAACAUCUUCAUUUGAUGCUACAUGCUAGUUUUCCUUAGGAGAAUUCAAUUUAUAGGGCUGAAAUGGCUGAAUUCCAUGACUAUUAACCUGUCCAUCGAAAUGAAGUUAGGUUCUUGUUGUAAAAAAGUUUAUUGGAAGGUUUUGCUGAAUUUUGGGAAGUUCUGGCUUCGUUACAGUAUAUAAAUAAGUGCAUGAUGGAUUUGGUUGAUAAUUUAAUAGAUUGAAUGCAAAACCUUGAAGAUAUAUGGCUGGAACAUUAGUUUCAAGAAUCGAAUGACUGGUGUGUUUUCUUAGACUUAGCUUCCAACUUGUAAACUGAAGUUUCUGUGGAUAUUGGUCAAAAUUACCCUAUGGUGCUCUGUUACACAUAGAUAUUAUGCCUACUUUGAUUUAAGAAAAAAUGUCCAACUUUGCAAAAGAAAUUUUGAGCUAGUUGAGCCUAUAAGCCUGUUUUGAACAAGUUUAGGAUUGUUUGGGAAUUCGAACUGUUUUCUAGAAGUUUUAGGAGAUUUUAAUUAAAAUUUCAAACUAAGAACAACUUACAAGAAUAAAGGUAAAAUGCAAAUUGGAUUAUAGGAGAUUUGAACUAUGGAAAUGGUAAACUGCAAGUUGGAUUAUAGGAGAUUUGAACUAAGGAAACCGUGAACUUUAACCAAAAACAUGGAACAUGAACAAUCUUAACUUAAUUUUUUUAUUCUAGUUUUAACUUUAAAUAACUAAGGUAGAAAUGAACCAAAACCAAACAAAUUCCUCUAAGUACCUUAUAAAAGUUUUAUCUAUAAACUUAUCCGAAAAGUUAGAGCAAACUCAAGGAACUUCAUAAGACCCCUAAAUUACUAAAUUCUAGAAAAUUUACUUUGCACCUCGAUUCUAAAUGAUCUUUAGAACCUUAAUCCCAACUUUUAUUGCCAUAUACUCACCGUAAACAUCUUAAAUUACAUAUACAUAGAUAUAAGUAUAUACUUUAGUCAAAAUAAUUAUAUGCGCCUUAAUUUCACCAUUUAGGAAAAUUAAUAAGUUUAUAAAUAUCUUAGGAGCCAAGGGGGAUUCGGCGGAGGGUCCAAGAAGCGAAGUGUGAACUCAAAAAUAUUUUAGGUGAGUGUUUCCACAUUUGUGUGUUUAAAUUGCCUAUGUGUUAGUUAAGUGAUGUUUAUGUGAUUAUGCUAGUGUUUUAUUGUAAAGUAUUUUCAAUUAUCCCUCGCCUUCUAAGUCGGGAGUGUAUUUUAUUGCACUCGACUUAGUUGAGUUUGAAGGUUGAUAAUUGACUAAGUGUUACUGUAAGUGUGCAUAACUGUAAGCCGUGUAUGUACUUUACCAUACUGGCUGAACUGGGCCCCAAAACCCUCUGUUCAAUGGACUAUUCGAGCUAGCAAAGGGCUUGGUUGGGUAGGAUGGUAUCUUUGGAUAAGUGUUUCGGUAUGCUCGUCUAUUACCACGGAGUAGCAGAUUACUGAUAUCGAUAUAGCCAUCUAAGUGAGAGAAGUGUUUACUAUUUUGGAAGUUAUAAGGAGGUGUUCAGUGAAAUGUAUAGUGCAUUGAAGUGGCUGUAAUGCGAGCACCGUAUCCUUUUAAAAGUGAUUGUUUAGUGAAGUGUUCUCUACUUUAUUCAGUGAA
rnacentral:lncRNA from 1 species